rnacentral:rRNA from 1 species
GUGGGGAAUAUUGGGCAAUGGGCGCAAGCCUGACCCAGCAACGCCGCGUGAAGGAAGAAGGUCUUCGGAUUGUAAACUUCUGUCAUUGGGGACGAAGGAAGUGACGGUACCCAAUGAGGAAGCCCCGGCUAACUACGUGCCAGCAGCCGCGUUAAUACGUAGGGGGCGAGCGUUGUCCGGAAUUACUGGGCGUAAAGGGUGCGUAGGCGGCGAUGCAAGUCCAUUGUGAAAAGCCCGGGCUUAACCUGGGAGGUGCAGUGGAAACUGCAUGGCUUGAGUGCAGGAGAGGAAAGUGGAAUUCCUAGUGUAGCGGUGAAAUGCGUAGAUAUUAGGAGGAACACCAGUGGCGAAGGCGGCUUUCUGGACUGUAACUGACGCUGAGGCACGAAAGCGUGGGGAGCAAACAGGAUUAGAAACCCUAGUAGUCC